UUUAAUAUCUUGAUUGUAGUUUUCAAUGUCUUGGGAACAUUUUCAAUGUCUUGGGAACAAUUUUCCAUGUCUAGGAAUUGUUAUCUAUGUUUGGGGAAUUCCAAAGUGGUUUUGGAAUUGUAAGAGUUUCUUUAAUGUUAUUUUGUUGUACACAUGACUUCCACCUCUAUAUAAUGCAAAUCCUGGCUGCUCUCAAAGGCACCCAUCAAAUUUUACAG